rnacentral:rRNA from 1 species
AUUGAACGCUGGCGGCAUGCCUUACACAUGCAAGUCGAACGGCAGCACGGGAGCAAUCCUGGUGGCGAGUGGCGAACGGGUGAGUAAAGUAUCGGAACGUGCCCAGUCGUGGGGGAUAACGUAGCGAAAGUUACGCUAAUACCGCAUACGAUCUAUGGAUGAAAGCGGGGGAUCGCAAGACCUCGCGCGAUUGGAGCGGCCGAUAUCAGAUUAGGUAGUUGGUGGGGUAAAGGCUCACCAAGCCGACGAUCGGUAGCGAGUCUUAGAGGACGACCAGCCACACUGGGACUGAGACACAGCCCAGACUCCUACGGGAGGCAGCAUUGGGGAAUUUUGGACAAUGGGCGCAAGCAUGAUCCAGCCAUGCCGCGUGCAGGAUGAAGGCCUUCAGGUUGUAAACUGCUUUUGUACGGAACGAAAAGGUUUGACUUAAUACGUUGGACUCAUGACGGUACCGUAAGAAUAAGCACCGGCUAACUACGUGGCAGCCGCCGCAGUAA